CCCCACACAGCAAAGGCCUCUCCAGCACAGGCCCUACCAUUUACCCCAUAGGCCAAACCCAAAUUUACAAAAUCUCUGAUCCAGCACAGUCAGUGUCUCACAAAGGGAUUUUCAGUCGCCUUUUAUGAAAAGAAAUUCCUUUCCCAAGUGCACCUAAUAUCCAGUAAAUUCCAGGUGCUUGCAGGGGGGAAACAGGAGGGCUCGUCCCUUGCCGGUGAGUGUCCGCGGCACGGCUGAAGCUGCUUUGGGGAACAGGGAGACAGCGAGACAGCUUCCACCUGCCCAGUGAUUCCGCCCCUGGGUUCUACCCAGGGCAAACGAAAGCAGAGGCUGAGGCAGCAGCAUUCACAGCAACUUCUUUAGCGACUGCCCACCCAGCGCUGGACCCAGACAGCCACCCCUUAGCAGCGGCAGCGAUCCCUCGGCCAGGCCCCGGCAGCAGAAGGGAGGCAGCUGUGCUGCAAACUACUGGAGUCCGGACAUGCAGGACCGCAGGCUGCAGGCUCCCAUUUGGCAGAAAGGACUUUUGCUGAAAUCCCCAGCGGGGCACUCGACCCCUCUAGUGGGUUGUGCCAUGCACUCCAUUGUCGCCGCCCCCGACCGGCCCCUGGCACCGUGUCCCUCCUACCUGAGCAGGCUCUGACUCCAGCCCUGGACACAGCUGGGGUGGCCACGGUGACUGCUGAGAAGAGGGGCUGUCCACACAGCCUGGUGGCUUGGAGCCCCGGGACCCCCACACCUGGGUCAGGGUGGGGCCGGAUGAGGUCUGAGUAAGGGAGUUGGGUGCCAGGGAAGGGCAGGGCCUG
rnacentral:lncRNA from 10 species